GCUGUUGUAGCUCAGUAGUUAAGCGCUCGGCUGCUAACUGAAAGGUUAGCAGUUCAAAUCCACCAGCC
rnacentral:tRNA from 1 species